CCCGGAGCCUGAGAUUGGAAUCUUUGGAAGGGACUGUAGGAGACGGAAGGGGAAACUUGCUACCUCCCCACAGGGAGGCCAAGUGCUGAUCCUUCUGGGAGCCAUUUUUGAAAAUCCCGACAAAGCACUGCUGCACUUGGCCUUGUCACACGGCACGGACAGCUGAGGGAGCCAGCUCACUGGGCCUUAGGCCAGCCUGGGCAGGUGCAUUCCUUAGCAGAAGAGAAGUCCUGCAAGGAGGAGUGCAUUCUCCCCUCCCAUCUGGAAAGUGAACAUGAAGUCCAGUUUCCAGUUCCUCUUGAAAAUUCAGAAGAUGUUGACAACAGUCCUGCAUGGCAUAUAAUCAGCUGGACUCAAGCGGCAGGUGGCCUCCACUGCUUUCUAGUCAAUCCCUCUCUGCAGACUGUAACACCCAGUUUGUUUUUUUUGUUGUGUUCUGUUUUUUAAUAUUUUAUUUAUUUAUUUAUUUGGUUGUGCCGGGUCUUAGUUGCGGCUGGUGGGCUCCUUAGUUGCAGCUCACCAGCUCCUUAGUUGUGGCAUACGAACUCUUAGUUGUGGCAUGCAUGUGGGAUCUAGUUCCCUGACCAGGGACCGAACCCAGGCCCCCUGCACUGGGAGUGUGGAGUCUUAACCACUGCGCCACCAGGGAAGUCCCUAGAACACCCAGUUUGGUCCACUGUCACUGGACAGACAUACUAGAAGAGACUACGUUAAGACUGCUGGUCGGGCUUCCCUGAUGGAGCAGUGGAUACACAACUACUACCACAACUACUGAGCCCGCGCUCUAGAGCCCGCGAGCCACAACUACUGAAGCCUGCGUGCCUAGAGCCCGCAACAAGAGAAGCCACUGCAAUGAGAAGCCUGCGCAACGCAACAAAGAGUAGCCCCCGCUAGCCGCAACUAGAGAAAAAACCCGCACGCAGCAACAAAGACCCAACCCAGCCAAAAAUUAAAAAAAAAAAAAAAAAAAGACUGCUGGUCACCAGCUCCAUAUAGGAACGGCCCUAGCCAAUGCCUCCGCAAAACUAGGAGGCUGCUGCUCUAGGGAAGGCCAGGAGCAGAGAAUUCUGGGAGGCUAGGAGGCCAAGAGCAACUUGCUUGACUCAGUGAGCUCCUUAGCU